GGGGGGUGCAAGCGUUGUUCGGAAUUAUUGGGCGUAAAGCGCGUGUAGGCGGUUUGAUUAGUCUGAUGUGAAAGCCCUGGGCUCAACCCAGGAAGUGCAUUGGAUACUGUCAGACUUGAAUACGGGAGAGGGUAGUGGAAUUCCUAGUGUAGAAGUGAAAUCCGUAGAUAUUAGGAGGAACACCGGUGGCGAAGGCGGCUACCUGGACCGAUAUUGACGCUGAGACGCGAAAGCGUGGGUAGCAAACAGGAUUAGAUACCCUGGUAGUCCACGCCGUAAACGAUGAGAACUAGGUGUUGCGGGUAUUGACCCCUGCAGUGCCGCAGCUAACGCAUUAAGUUCUCCGCCUGGGAAGUACGGUCGCAAGACUA
rnacentral:rRNA from 1 species